rnacentral:rRNA from 1 species
UACGAAGGGGGCUAGCGUUGCUCGGAAUCACUGGGCGUAAAGCGCACGUAGGCGGAUCUUUAAGUCAGGGGUGAAAUCCUGGAGCUCAACUCCAGAACUGCCUUUGAUACUGGGGAUCUCGAGUCCGGAAGAGGCGAGUGGAAUUCCUGGUGUAGCGGUGGAAUGCGCAGAUAUCGGGAAGAACACCCGUGGCGAAGGCGGCUCUCUGGGACGGUACUGACGCUGAGACGCGAAAGCGUGGGGAGCGAACAGG